rnacentral:rRNA from 1 species
CAGCCGCCGCGGGAAUACGAAGGGUGCAAGCGUUACUCGGAAUUACUGGGCGUAAAGCGUGCGUAGGUGGUGGUUUAAGUCCGUUGUGAAAGCCCUGGGCUCAACCUGGGAAUUGCAGUGGAUACUGGGUCACUAGAGUGUGGUAGAGGAUAGUGGAAUUUCCGGUGUAGCAGUGAAAUGCGUAGAGAUCGGAAGGAACAUCUGUGGCGAAGGCGACUAUCUGGGCCAACACUGACACUGAGGCACGAAAGCGUGGGGAGCAAACAGGAUUAGAUACCCCAGUAGUCCCUGUCUCUUAUAA